UAGUCUUAUUCCAAUUUCCAAUAGAUCUAACAUAAACUACUAAUAAAAUUUAUCAGAAAAUGCUAACUUGAUUAAUAAAGUUAAACAUACCAUAAAUUUGGAGUGCCCAGAAUAUACAUAUUUAUCCCUUUUUGGUCAACAUGAUCGAACAAUAUGUAAAUGAGGAUCCUAUUGCCAUACAUUGAUCGUCGACCUUAAAACUCGCUCAUUGGCUGAUGAGCUUCGUUAAUGUUUUGCUAGAAUGAAAUAUUCUACAAAUUUUUUUCAUUUGAUAAAAACUAACUUAUAAAUAAUCCCUAUAAUUAAUAAUAAUAACUUUGCUGUUGGUAGUGGAGACAGGCUGCUGCUGGUGGCUCUUCCAGUUCCCUCCUCCAAACCUUUCUCUUGGUCUUCCAUCGCCUCCAAACCCUUCCGUUAAACACCACCAACAUCGCUGCAACCGACAUCACCAUCGGUACCACCACCACCGCACCCCCCAAGAUUUUACCCCCAAAGCAGAUCGACGGUUGGAGUACAUUUUUUUUCUUCCAAAGUCCCAUAACAAAUGCGGCCGCCGGAGUAAAUUUUUCUCUCAUUUUUGUUGUCGGAGCCAGGUAUUUUUGAGGUUAUUUCUGUGAUGGAGGGAGAAAUGGUGAGAUGUGAUUUUUGUGAUAAGGAGAGAGAAAUGGUGAGAUGUGGGUUUAAUAAAUUUUAAUUAAAUAAUUAAUCCCUGAUUUGUGAAAAGAAAAGUUUAAGAUUUCAUAAGUGAAAUGUAUACUUAAAAUGUAGGUU
rnacentral:lncRNA from 1 species